GUGUGUUCCCUAUGGCCGCACCUAUAUUAAAAUUGAAACGAUACAGAUUAGCUUGGCCCCUGCUUAAGGAUGACAUGCAAAUGCAUUGAGUUCCAUAUUUUU
ensembl:snRNA LOC120093913 U6 spliceosomal RNA